AAUUUCUACUGUAGGCUGUAGCCCUAAGACCGGCCUUCCAUUCUUCCACUCUUCCCCUCUUCGGACCACCGAGAAAUCGCAGAUCCGUAGACGGCACUCACGGCAGACCACCUGGGCGACUUCCAGCAAGCAAGCUAGUCUAAGACUCUAAGCAAAGCUUGUCUGCAACUCUGACCUAGGCAACCUGCGAGUCUGCGACGAAGAAGAUAUGCAUCAUCUUUUUAUUGAUCUUCAAUUUCAAGAUACUUGGUGACCUUUUCAAUGCUUUGGUGCUUGAAUAAGAGAGCAAUAUUUGGAGGCAGUAGAGGAGCUGAGGGCUGGGUUCAGAUUUGUUUGGGACACAGGGCAGGGGCUUGGCUUUGUUUAUUUGUUCAUUUGAAGGGGAAAGAGGAUGAAGAGUAGGACAGAUUCCAUUAUUGUUGCAUUUUUUAAUGCAAAUUUGUUAUGUAAAUUAUGAAUUGAUUGCUUAUUUAUUUUGAUGUUCCGUUAUUAGUCUUUGAUGUAAAAAUUUUACAUAUAGUUUUAUAAUAUAAAAUUUUAUGCUAUUUAAA